rnacentral:lncRNA from 1 species
AAAAACUCCCGAUUUAUCACAUUCAUCCAUCCAAGAAGAGCUCUUUUUUGCUUAGGGAAGGAAAGAGAAAACUCCUCCAAAAUCUUGUAAACUGGAAUAGCAGGUCACACAAAUGAUGAGAAUGCUCCAAUCCAAACUUUCCUAAAAUGAAGACAAUAGAUAAGCUAUUACCAACGAAUACCAACGAAUACCAACUAUUUUUAUGCAACAGAAAGAAUUGGUUGGCAGAAAAAAAAAACUCCCGAUUUAUCACAUUCAUCCAUCCAAGAAGAGCUCUUUUUUGAUUCCAUCCAUCCAAGAAUCACGAAUCACUUCACUGAAACCCUAAGUUGCAGCACCCUAGUAAUAUGGGAAAUUAGAGAACAAGGAGCAAAUCCACAAAUUUCCUAAUCAAUUUCAAGGAAACAGCAGAAAAACAAGUAGGGAAAGAGAAAGCUCCUCCAAAAUCUUGUAAACUGGAAUAGCAGGUCACACGAAUGACAAGAAUGCUCCGAUCCAAACUUCCCUAAAAUGCAGACAAUAGAUAAGCUAUUACCAACGAAUACCAGCUAUUUGUAGGCAAAAGAAAGAAUUGGUUGGCAGAGAAAAAA